AUUCAGCUAGUUUGAGGAAUCUGGAUUUUUGUCAAGGGGUAGAAAGGAAUAGUUAGGGGCUAAAAUUAUGUGCAAGCAGGGGUGGGAAGGAAUAAUUUAUGAGAUGAGGACUUUCCCAGUCCACAGUGGAGAAUUCUUAAUCUUCCAGAUUCUCUUAUGUUUGUCUACUUAUCAUAUACUGAUGGAAGAGUUUGCGUAAUCCUUCCGUGUCAGAGCUAAAGUGUACCUUAGCCAUUGUUUACUGAGAGGGUGGGAAGAGGGAUGUCAGAAUAUUCUCAGCUUGUCAAAGGGCAUUCCACCUUCCUGUUGUACCCUUGGCCAUAUGGUUGAAUCCCGCACUUCAGAUGAUUCUGAAUCAUCCCCACCACUCCCAUUGAUCUAGUUCAGUGUUUCCCAACUCUGAAAUGUUGACACGGUUAGAGACCAGCAGCUUGAGGAAUAGUGACUGUGAACCCACCAAUUAAUGGGGGACAUUAAAAUGAUAGUAGUUCUGCAGCUUCACCUCUAGAUGAUCUUCAUCAGAUUCUUAAAUUGCGUUUACUUGAUAAAAUCCUCACCACAGCACAUCAACAUGUCUCUUGCACUACCCAAAAGCAGUAUUAAAAAGGAAAAUACGUUGACAAUUACUAUCUAAUUUGGUUUUUAUUUGAGAUACAGGCUAUCUAUAACUCUGUUGUUAUUUGUGGAAAUGCUAGCAAAAAACAGACUGAAAUCUUUCUCCUUAUGUUGUUGUUUUAGAAACAACGCAAACAGGUUGGGCGGUGGCUCACGCCUGUAAUCCCAGCACUUUGGGAGGCUGAGGUGGGUGGAUCACUUGGGUUCAGGAGUUCAAGACCAUCCUGGCCAACAGGGUGAAACCCUCGUCUCUACUAAAAAUACAAAAAUUUGCCAGGCAUGGUGGUGCAUGCCUGUAAUCCCAGGAACACAAACAUAAAAAUAAGCCUCUAGUUUUAUUUGGGAGGGAUCAAUAUACCAUAUUCGAGUUCUGAAUAUCAUGUCGGGAAAGCAGUUUUUGAUGCCACUAGUUAAAUGUUUGUGUGUUUUGCUAUACCGUUGGUCUUCCCAAGCAAACAUCACUUUUUUUUUUUUUUUUUUGAAACAGAGUCUCACUCUGUCACCCAGGCUGGAGUUCAGUGGUGCCAUCUCGGCUCACUGCAACCUCUGCCUCCUGGGUUCACGUGAUUCUCCCAUCUUAGCCUCCCGAGUAGCUGGGACCACAGGCGCGUGCCACCACAUCCAGCUAAUUUUUGUAUUUUUUGUAGAGACGGGGUUUCAUCAUGUUGGCCAGGCUGGUGUCGAACUCCUGACCUAAAGCGAUCUGUCUGCCUCGGCCUCCCAAAGUGUUGGGAUAAGUGCUGGGAUUGCAGAUGUGAGCUUCUGCACACAGCCUAUCCCUUUUUAAGAUGGGGAAAAAUGGAAAUUUGCUGUUAUGUAUUACACAUAUUAUGAAAGCAUAUUAGAAUGUAUUUUCUGGGCCGGGCGUGGUGGCUUAUGCCUGUAAUUCUGGCACUUUGGGAGGCCAAGGCAGGCAGAUCACUGGAGCCCAGGAGAUCAAGACCAGCCUGGGCAACAUAGCAAAACCUUGUCUCCAAAAAAUACAAAAAAUUAGCCAGAUGUGGUGUUGUGCACCUGCAGUCUCAGCUACUCAGGAGUCUGAGUUGGGAGGAUUGCUUGAGUCCAGGAGUUUGAGGUUAUAAUGAACUAUGGUUGCACAACUGUACUCUAGUGUGGACAACAGAGUGAGACCCUGUCUCCAGAAAAAAAAUAAUAAAAAUCAAAUAACUUCUUUAUUGGAGAUUACAUACAAAUCGUGACCCUUUUUUUAUUCCUAAAGUCUUUAGUAAGGUUAUAUGUUUACUGCAAUAGAUCUUAAAUUUUACUAUGAUCAAAAAUCUCCUAGGUGCUUGUAAAAAAUAAAGAUUCCUGGUUCCUAGCCCAGCCCUACAGAAUCAAAGUGUUUGGGAUAGAGAUGUGGGAUUCUGAUGUAGCUUAUCUGUAGACCCCACUUGGAGAAAGAAUUUAUGUGAGAAAGAACCACACAUAAAAAAAAUGAUUGAGAAAUGCUAUUAUUUUGCAGAGGAGGAAAUUAAAGCACAGAAAAGUCAGGAGACUCAGACUUAACUAGGAUAUCCAGCUAGUUAUUUGACUCUUGCAGACCAGAAGCUAGGUUGGCUGACUACUGUGGAUUUGUGCUCUUUCCAUUAGAUUAUAGUCCGGGGUGUGCAAUCUUUUGGCCUCCCUGGGCCACAUUGGAAGAAGAAGAAUUGUCUUGGGCCACACAUAAAAUACACUAACACUAAUGAUAGCUGAUGAAAGUUUAUGAAUUUGUGUUGGGCCCGGAGGCCAUGGGUUGGUCAAGCUUGGAUUAUGCCAGGGUGCCUCCUUGCUGGUUUAUCUGAUUGCCUUUAAAUCAGAAGCUAUAAGAUAAUGAGGGCAAAGGUACUUUGAUUCCUUCAGAACAAUAAUGACUGAACUGACACUUCAUAGUGUGAAAAGUUCGUGCUUCUUAAACUAUCUGUGGUGAAGGACCAGCUUUGUAAGGGUUUCCCUUCACCCCUAAUCUGUUGCCAGCGAAGCUACCAUCUGAGAGCUCCCAUUCCCACCUGGAGAGAGAAGUUUCGUGACUUGGUGAUUUCCUAGGUCAGAACCAAAGUUGAUAAUACUUAGAGACUAGUUAAGGAACUAUAUAUUUAAUUUAUUUAAUUAUUAUAAAUAAUUUAUAUAUAUUUUAUAUAUAUAUAAUUUAUUUUAAUAUAUUUUAUUUUUAAAAACCAGAACAUUUAUUGUGUGACUAAUUGUUGAAAUUCUUAAGAUGAACUGGAUGCUGCAGCAGCUGCCUUCUUGGGUUUAGGUGGUGUUCUUUCAC
rnacentral:lncRNA from 1 species